GAGACACUGACUCACCCGCAGCACAAUGAUGAUGAUGUGUGUGACUCUACUGCUGGUCACUCUGGAGCUCCUUGUUCAGGGUUCAUCAGGAGACAUCACCAUGACUCAGUCUCCUGGAUCUCUGUCUGCUGCUCGAGGACAGACUGUCUCUAUCAAAUGUAAAUCCAGUCAACUUAUAGGUGAUGAUGUUAACUGGUACCUGCAGAAACCUGCAGAACCUCCUAAACUCCUGAUUGCAGAUACAACAAGUCGUCAGUCUGGAGUUCCAGAUCGCUUCAGUGCAACUUAUCAUCAGACUGACUUCACUCUGACCAUCAGAGAUGUUCAGACUGAAGAUGGAGGAGUUUAUUACUGUCAGCAGCACAACAGCAUCCUGCUCACAAAGUGA